AGGAUUUCAAACAAAGGCUCUCCAUCCAGGCCAGGGGCUCCCUAGUCACUCCCAGGAGAGAGGCUGGGGAAGCCCAGAAGCAGUGCAUGUAGAGUUGGGCUUCUGUCUCCAGCCCCCAGUGCAGGACCUCAGCUCAGGGCUGAUUCCUGCUGGGGGCAGUUUGCAAAGCUCUCCCAGAAAGCCUUUUCUCUUUAUUUUGGUGGACUUGGCUGAUUCCUGCAUUAAUAAAUGGAUGGCAAUUUCACCCCCUUUCCUGUUUCUGGAGCUACUGUCCUCUACCACUUCAGAAUCCCAGGAAGGCAGAGCCCACUGCUGAAGGAUGGAGAAAGAUCUCCUGAGCAGAAGCAAGAACCCCAGGAGAGAGGAUGUCACCUGGGUAGGACCUGCAGAAUGAACUUAAGUAAGUAACUCAGUAAACAGAAAGGGGGAGGAGGUGAAUCAGAGAACAGGCGAAUACAUUUAUGAACCACCAGAUGGGUGAGAGCCGAGCCCUGCACCCGUGCCUGAGGACAUAGCAUUUGCUCUGUCAUUGGAGGUGAGGCCGAUAAAUGUGAAAUUGUGUGGAACAAGUCUCAGCGGAACCCUGCACUGCAAAGGACGGUCAUGUUUGCUCAUCUUUAGUGACAAGAGCUCUGUCACCCACAGUCUCAGCUUUGGAAUGUGGACUGUAUGGCUGGGUUUGGCUCCUGCCUUUGUCAGUUUUUGGCUUGUGUUCCUUUGCUCCUCUGAGCCUCAGUUUCUUGGUUGGUGAGAUGGCAUGCACAUGCACAGCCUUCGUGGGUAUAUACAUGCUUUGUGGGCAUGCACAGCCUUCAUGGGCACGCAUAUGGACAUCCUUGGUGGGUGCACACAUCCUUCAUGGGUUUGCAGAGACUGUGGGGAUCUGACCAGAUGGCACUGGUUUAACAUUGGUUCUUAUGUCCAUUAAGGAGGAUGAAUCUUUAGGCCGGGAGGCUACACAAGUCCAUCUUUAGGGUCCAGGGACCAUCUGUGCUCUCUCUAACCUCUAGCAUGCAAACACAAGGACCUCUGACCUCAGUGGGGACACCAGUAUUUCCAUCAAAUCCCUGUGUCCUCCCCUUACCUGUUCUAGCUCCUGGUGAGUGUUUGAUAUCAUGUGACCCAGGUCACAUGGGUAGAUAUAGACCAAGCCUCCAGAUAGGAAGGAGAAAACUUUCUGGUAGCAGCCACAAGGGGAAUAGCGGCACAGGAGAGCAGUGGGCUCAGUGGUUUUUAGGCCUGGUGCCCACCACAACCACUUGGCACCAAGAAGCAGAGAGCAGGCCCUGCUGCAGGGCCAGGACAGGAGCAGGAAAUAUGUGCUGGCUUUGUAACCUUGUCCAUGUGAUUUGACUAGUCUACCCCUGUCUCCCUGUCUGUAUCCCUCCCUGUAUGUACAGCCAUAGCACCAAACACAAUGCCUGGAACAGCAUCUGGAGUAGAGUGAGCAGAGCACAAGUGUCAGCCCUUGCCGAAGACUGGAUAGCUGUCCCCACCCUCCAAUUCCUCUCAUUGCAAGCGGACAGUGUGACCCUACCAUGUUGACCUUGAUCUUGGCCAUGCGUCUUACUUUGGCUAUGGAAUAUGUGUGAGAGGGAUAGAAGAGGCUGUUUAAGAACAUCUUCUGGUUCUCUUCCUUCAUCCUCACCAGAAAAACACCGUCCAUCCUGGGACCUGGGAUGGAAAGAUGUGUGAGAUCCAGCCAAGUGCAACCAAGUGCAAGUGAGCUGUAUCCCUUAUGGCAGGAGAUCAAGGGAGGAAUGUUUGUUACCACAAGUUGCAAGACUGCAGGACUGCAGUUACAAGUAUGGACUAGUGGUCUCCCGGUGGUCAUUUCUCCAUUUUAUUGCUGAGAGGAAUGAUCAUCUGAGUGACCAAAUGGCUUGCUCAUAGUUACAGAGACUAAGUAGUAAGGACUCAAAUAUCCCACUCAUUCAGCUGCUAUUAGCUGCAGCUACCCUGGGGUGGGUGCUGUAAAGGCUGGGAACCUGACUCGCAGGGGACUUACUCUGUACAGGCAGAAACAAAGAAAGCAAGUCACCUAGAAAGCAGACAAGGUGUCAGGCAGGUAUGGAAAGGGAUAUAUAAUAGGAUGAUAAGGGUCAGGCUUGUCGCUCAGUCGGUAGAACGUUUGCCUAGCAUGUUUUGGGCCCUGGGUUCAAACCCCAGCAAUGCUUAAAUCAGGCAUGGUAUAUGCUAGCACUAGGGGAGUGAAGGCCGGAUGAGCAGAAGUCCAAAGUCAUCCUCAGCUACUCAGGGGGCUUGAGGCUAGCCUAGGCUACAUAAACUCCUGUAUCACAGAAGGAAAAAGGAAAAAGAAAAGAAGAGGAAGGAGACAGGAUGAGAAGUUCAAAGCUGAAAAUGAAGGGAAGGGUUAUAAGGAAAAGAAAGAGGGUCUCUAAAGAGGUUACAUUAUCACGGAGGUGUGUGUGUGUGUGUUUGUGUACUCGCACGCGCAUACACAUGUUGUAGAAGGAGGACAGUGGCCAGUACAUGCAAAUGCCCAGAGGUGGGAUCCAGCACAGAGCACCCCAGGAGCCUGAAGCAGCUGCAUGGGGUUGGUGGGAGAGGUAGAAAGGAAGAGGGAGGAGCCCCGAGAGAGGCAGAGCACACACAGACUGUGUAUGCUCUGUAUGAGACACAGCUCUGUGCUGUGUCUCAGGCACUCACUAAGGAGUCUGGAGUUUAUGCAUAAUUCGGGGUGUGGGGGGGAACUGAAGCACAGGAGAGAAUUAUUGGAGCUGUUGUUUUUGUUUUUGUUUUUCAAAUUGCUGCUAUUAGUAUGGAGAAAUGAUGCAGGUAGUCAGCUGGAAGGGGGAUGGUGAAACUGAACGGGGUAACCACAGUGGAGCCACACCCGAUAGGACCAGGGGUGGAUUUUAUAGGUCACUGGAAGUAGGGCUAAGAUAGAGGUAACUUCUGAAGGAUGGCCUUCGUGUGAUUUGGUGAGGGUGUUGAAGAUACUGUGCUGGAGUAAGUGGGAGUUGGUGUAGGUCUGGGAUGGGGGUAGGAGGAAGCAAGGACUUGGCAUAGGAUUGACUGCACAGCCUCCCAGGGAAACUGAGUGGUUGUGCAAGGUUUCACACUGGAGGCCAGUGAGAGAUCAAGGCUAGGGCACAGAUGUUGGCACGGUCAAGUAGAAAUAAAUUAAAAGGGGGAAGCAGAGUUGAACCCCAUAAGACCACACAGCCCAGGAGGAGUGGGAGGCACCACUGUCAAAUUCCAGAGGCGAAGGAAGCUCCUUGUCAAGGUGACAGAAGUCACCAACCCAGUGUGCCCGAACACUCAGAACGAGGCUAGCCCCACCAAGAUGAAUGGAGCUUGUAAAUGUGAAUGAGGUUCCAAAUAGCUGGUUGUGAGAAACUGUGUCAUAUGAUCCCACAUACAUGUUCACACUGAUUGCACAUUAAAACAAGAAAACCAAAAGUGGGACAGAUCAAAUCCAGUGGCCAGACAGAUUUGGCUUGUCUUCCAUUUCUUUUCGUUUCAAAGGUGGUGUUUGUUUGAAACAUAGGAAAUUGUUUUGUGUGGUGGUUCCCACCUCCAAUUCCAGGAGACUGAGGCAGGAGGAUCACUGUGAAUUUGAGGCCAGCCUGGAAUACACAGGAAAGACCUUAUCUCCAAAAACCCAAUAACACCAAAAGGAAAACCUUCUUUGAACCUUGAAGCGUGGCUGUGCUGUUUUACGUGUGCAAUCCUACUUUUUUAGAAGAGUCACUGCAGGUGACCCAAGUACUGUUAUUGUUGAAGCAAAAGACAGUCCACAGUUGUCCUCAAAACUCUCACCUUCCUAUGCUUUGGGGUCCCCAAGCUUCCUCAGCCAAAAAUGUCAGAUAUCUCUGCAAAGGCAAAGGUUGACAGGGUCUCACUCCAGUCUGGACUAGACUUGGUUUGGCCCAGAAACCAUUUUUAUCAGAAACAUCCCAUCCAAAGAAUACAAGAAAGAAUGAGAUGUCCCCAGUCCCUUGCCUCAGUCCCCAUGCCACUGUUCUGUCCCCUGCACCAUCUUCAAACACAAAGGCAUUUGUCACAUGGUCAAAGGAGUGGUUUGGGAAGAUGUCCACAGACCAUACUGGGUUGGCCUCUGGCCUAGACCUGAAUCAAGAAAUGAUGGCCUUGAUUCCCAGUUCAAAGCUGCCUCAUGGUCCUAGAAUAUCCAUGGGCUCCAAGCAACACCCACCUGGAUGUUGGCAAGAGUCCAGGAGGGAGUUCAGUCAGUUUUUCAAAGGUGCCAUCUUCUCUUUGGCCACACGCUAUUCACUGUUCUUGGAUACCUACAUGAGGUGGUGCUCCAGGGAGGAGCCCAAACAGCCUGUUUAGGAGCAUAAAGAGAGCUAGGGAGAAAGAGACUCAAAGGAUCACAGAGUGAGGCAGGGUCCUUCAGGCCUCCAGGGACCAGCCCUAAGGGCUGCUGAAGGAACAGAAGGAAGAAAGCAAUACGUUUUCACUCACUCCAACCCUUCCUAGUACUGAGCAGGGAGCCAAGAACGUGAUAGAACAAGAUAGAUCUGCCUCCCGCCUCCUGGGCUCACAGGCCAGUCAGCAAACGAUGAAGCAAAUGAGCAUGUAAGCCUAUGUCUAAUGAAAUCUGACAGGCACUAUGAAAGAUGGGGAUUUGGUGUUGUGAGGUUGCCAACAGAGGUGUUGGAAUGAAUCUGAGAAAUUAGGAAAGGUUUCCCUAAGGACGACAUUUGGGGGCUGGCAUCUGAAGUGUGGUUAAUUGCACAAAAAGGAAAUUAAGUAAGGCAGGUGGAGAAAAUGGCAUGUACAAAGGUCCUGCUGCAGAAGGGGAUCAAUUUGUAUCUAUAGACUUCAGUCCAUUCUAACCAACGCAAAGACAACUAGGGGAAACAUGGUAAGACAUGCACUCAAGAGGGAAGGAAUGACUGAUCUCUUGGGGCCACAUGGACGCAACAGACUGAAGUAGCAGACAGAGGCGAAGAGAGACUUUGAAGCUGGGGCUGAAGAGGAGAAGACUAGUCCAUCAGUAGAUCAGGAACACCGACUCGUGGCUGAGGGAAUGCUAGAACAUGGGUCCCAACCACCUGGGCUUAUUUGGAUACAAGCACCCCUGAUUGGUUCCCAUCUCUCUAUGUCAUCUUCUGGUUCACUGAGCCUCAGGCUGGAUCUAUAUCCCCUCUGGGAUUCAGUAGCCUCAGCUAUAAAGGAGAGGUCAGCUUACCUGGUGGAGGUAUUGAUUAUGCAAGACAACACUCAGACACAGCUUGGCAGAAGUUACAGUUGUGUUCUCCUGUGAAGUGGGGAUGAGCAUCCAGAUGGGAACGCUACAGUAGAGCAGAAGUUUGGGGACAGGGAGGGCCCAGCUAGUGAGAGGUGACUGGAGCAGGAUCCCCACCUGCCCUCACAGUUGGUCAGGACCUCUGCUUCCCGUGUCUGUGUUUUUCCACCUGCUCAGCAGGUGGUGGCAUCACCUUUGGGCUGAUGGUUGUCAUCUUCCAGGAGGGACAUGGAAACAGGACAUCCAGGGGCUCCGUGCUGGCAUCUCUGUCUCUCUGUCUCAGCAGGUACCUCGACUCUGGAGCCUGAUUUUAAAAAAGAAGAGUCUGAUCCCCAUUGGUGUGCCUGGUGCUAACUUCUGGGGCCUUUCCUAUGGAACCGGUUGCUCUAGAACCUUCUGGAUGGAUCUGCCAGGGAGCUGGGGGAGUAUGCUGCUGCUAUGGCUCUCCCAUGCCUUCUCCACCACGAUGAGCACCUGAAGCUUCAGUUGUUUUGGUCAUGUAUUAUGGUCUCAGCAAUCCAGAAGAAACAAGCAGUCACUCAACAGGCACUGAGCAGUCUUGGGAUGAAGGUCUGUCAUCUGUGAAAUGGGAUUGCUGACAGGACUUUCUUAAAGAGUUUUAAUAGUUCAGGCCGCUCUCCAGUCUAUUCAGGGGCACUAGGCAAACAGAGGCAGAGGCAGGAACACGCCUAAGCCAGCCUGGCUCUGAGCUCCUUGAAGCCCCAUCCUGCUUCCUGCCCAGGUCCCAUGCGUGCCUCCUGCUUCUCUUUGCGAGUGUGUGCACUUAUAUUUAUACUUAUGCUGACGGCAUCACCAGGCUGCUGAGCGGCCAGGCUCUGCUGCACUUUAAAUCGUCUCCUGUGUGCGUUGGCUCAAAUCAACAUACAUUCUUCUAGGGCACUAUUUUGAAUGUCUGCAUAGGAUUCUGCAGUCUAGACAAGUGGCUGGUAAACUUCUCUCAGCCUCAUCUGGGAACUUGUUGCAAUGCAAAUCCUCAGCCCUCCACCCCCGCCCCUGCUCCUUCUUGCAUCUGAGAUUCUGACGAUGGAGUCCAGGAAGCGGUGUCUUAACGAGCCCUCUAGAUGGCUGCAUCGUUAGCUGUUCUGUGUUCUUCAUAUCUAUCUCCUAGACUUGGUGUGGUUGGAGUUGUUCCCAGGCUUGGACCAUCACAUACAAGGUGAACUAAACUUCCUCAUCUAUUUGUAUCUGUGAAGAUUCAAAAAAAAAGGUUUUAAAAUAAAGCAGGUAUCGAAAUCAGAUCAAAACAAACGUAAAUGUAAUCGAUGGGAUAUUUAAAACGAGAAGCUGAUGAGAUUUAGGUUAGACUUAAGAAAGUACCAGCCAGGAGGAAUAGGGCUGAAGCACUGCAAAUCACACGUGGUGACAGUUCAGGCCCAAAGUCAUUCCUGGAGGUUCCCACGGCUGGAGGCAUUUUGGUGAGUGCAGGCCUUUCCUAGCUUGGCUCUAACGGCUAAGAUGUUUAUUAACGAGACAGCUGCUGUCCAGGCCCACUCAUCAGAGGGAGGCCAGAGGGCUCCGGGACUGUGGAGAUAAGAUCAGGAGGGCAGGCUGGCCACUUGCCUCCCAGAUGGCAGGCCCACUGUGAGGCCCUGGACAGCUCCUCAUGGCUGCCCUGCCAGACUGCAUCCCCAUUAGCCCAAGGCUAGUGCAGGCUUUCAAUAUCCUCCGGAGCCCUUGCCCCAGGUCUCAGAGGACACCCCCAUCUGGAACCACACUGAGUUCUGUCAGCAGGACCCUGCAGGACCUAUCCUGCCACCAGCAUGUCAUGACUGGCUGCCGGUUCUAACUCCGCAGCCAGCUCACCAGCCUGCCUGCUGGCACUGUUCCUCUGAAUCUGCCAGCCUGGGAAAGGGCCCCUCACUGAACGGAGAAAAGCACCUUCAGAUGCCGGCACAUCUCAGUCUCCCUGCCUGUGAAAUGGGACAAUGGCCACUGUCCCGUGCAAAAGGGCAACCAACUCAGGCCAUGACUGAUCUGCUUCCAUGUUACAGGAUUUUAGCAUCUUUAAUAUUUACUCUGGGAGCUACUAUCUAUGACUGGUAAGGACAGCAUGGGCCUGUGGGUACAUAUUAGGGCUAGGUUUGAAAUCAUAGCUCACCACCUACUGCCUGUGCAGCCUUAGAGAAAGAACAUCUUUCUGAGUCUCCACCUGACCUUCACAAAGGACAGGCCCUGGUAUUUGCUUCACCAGACCCAAGGACCACCAGAUAGGGAUGGAACACCCAGCACAGGGAAGAGCAUGCGUAAGGCAGGGGCUUGAUGAACCCGGGUCUCAAUUCUGUUUCAUCAGGGAAACUCACAUUCCUUUUCGGUAAGGUGGGAUUCAUGUCAAGGCUGCCUUGUGGCCGUGGUCCAUCACCUGCCACCUGCCACUUUGGAUCUUGACCUUGUCAGCUCGCAUGGGCCUCGGACACCACAGCUCACCUUUGAAAUAGGAAUGUGCCACCUAAGUACAUUUGCCGAUGGAACGGAGGCUGGAUUCUGUGUGUUGUCAGAUAUGGAGAAGGGAGGCACCCUGGGGAGGUAACUGUGUGCCUUUUCAUUUUGAUCAGACAUUCUUUCAGGAGACAACGACUAAGUACCAACUCAGUAGCUGGCCACUUUCUGCUAGCCCAUCAGUUCUUUGUAUUUGGGAUCUAUGGAGGAGUUCACACUUGACUCUCCACUAGUGAUGGGGUGGGGGUGGGGUAGGGGUGAGUGACGAGGGACCACAGUGGAGGUCAGAGGUGAGCCACCCUCACUACCUCCAGGCUGGAAAGCCUGUUCCUCAGCCAAGCCUCACAUCCGUAGCCGUGCCCGACAGCCCCUCUCCCACAACCUCCAGGAUGGUAAGACCUUAAGAAAUUCCAGGUUAAAAAUCGGCUCUCAGAUUCCAUUGUAGGUUAUUCAAAGGAGAAAAAGAAUAAAAAUCAAUGUGGACCCAGUCUCCUGCUCCGAGGAGCCGUCGCAUCUUGUUUGUAACCCGAAGGGAUCAAUAAGAGAUGUUCCUUCUGUUCUGUUUCUUAAGCUCAAUACGAUGGAUGCAAUUUGGUUGACAAUUAUGAACAAUCAGUUAUCUUGUAGGCUCGCUCCCGCCACCGGCUGCCUGAUCGGCAAUCAUGAGCUAUUACCGAGGUGGGGGCGGCACUGUGGAGGGGCCGGCUCCUGCCCCCUCACUCGGGAUCUCUCAGAAGUGAACAGAGUUCUCCGAUCAAUGGAGCCACUGGGACAUAGA